CAAUCGCCGCGGUAAUACGUAGGGUGCAAGCGUUAAUCGGAAUUACUGGGCGUAAAGCGUGCGCAGGCGGUUUGUUAAGACAGAUGUGAAAUCCCCGGGCUCAACCUGGGAACUGCAUUCGUGACUGGCAAGCUAGAGUGUGGCAGAGGGGGGUGGAAUUCCGCGUGUAGCAGCGAAAUGCGUAGAUAUGCGGAGGAACACCGAUGGCGAAGGCAGCCCCCUGGGCCAACACUGACGCUCAUGCACGAAAGCGUGGGGAGCGAACAGGAUUAGAUACCCCUGUAGUCCCUGUCUCUUAUAC
rnacentral:rRNA from 1 species